GACGAACGCUGGCGGCGUGCUUAACACAUGCAAGUCGAACGGAAAGGCCCUGCUUUUGUGGGGUGCUCGAGUGGCGAACGGGUGAGUAACACGUGAGUAACCUGCCCUUGACUUUGGGAUAACUUCAGGAAACUGGGGCUAAUACCGGAUAGGAGCUCCUGCUGCAUGGUGGGGGUUGGAAAGUUUCGGCGGUUGGGGAUGGACUCGCGGCUUAUCAGCUUGUUGGUGGGGUAGUGGCUUACCAAGGCUUUGACGGGUAGCCGGCCUGAGAGGGUGACCGGCCACAGUGGGACUGAGAUACGGCCCAGACUCGUACGGGAGGCAGCAGUGGGGAAUAGUGCACAAUGGGCGGAAGCCUGAUGCAGCAACGCCGCGUGCGGGAUGACGGCCUUCGGGUUGUAAACCGCUUUCGCCUGUGACGAAGCGUGAGUGACGGUAAUGGGUAAAGAAGCACCGGCUAACUACGUG
rnacentral:rRNA from 1 species